rnacentral:sRNA from 23 species
ACACCGUCGCUUAAAGUGACGGCAUAAUAAUAAAAAAAUGAAAUUCCUCUUUGACGGGCCAAUAGCGAUAUUGGCCAUUUUUUU